UCUCAAAGGAAAAAUUGUGUUAGUUACGCCAAAAUUAAAUGGUUUAAAACAACAAGCAUUUAUUAUUUCACACAAUUUUUGUGGGUCAGGAAUUUGGGUGAUGCUCAGCCGGGUGGUUCUGCAGGUUGCAGUCAAGGUGUCAUCCAGGGAUGCCUCUGAAGCUUGACUGAGGCUGGAGGAGCUGUUUCCAAGAUGACUCACUCUCAUGACUGGCAAGUGGAUGCUGGCUUUUGGCAGGAGGCCUUAGUUCUUCGUCAUGUGGCAUCUCCAUAGGGCUGCUUGAGUCUCCUUAAGGCUCCACAUGGCCACUGACUUCCCCAGCACAAGUGAUCCGAGAGAGAGCAGGGCCAAGCUACACUGUCUUUAAUGACCCAGUCUUGGACGCCACACUCCAUCAUUCCCACACUUUUCUUGGUGACACAGCUCAGUCCUAUUCCAUGUGGAGGGGACAACACAAGGGCGUGAUUACCAGGAGGUGAGAAUUGUUGGAGGUCAGCUUGGAGGUGGGUGAUCAUAGACGUUAAUUAAUUUAAAAGUGAAGUAAUGCAUGCCUAGUACAUGGCAAGCAGUUAAUAAAUAUGUGAACAAGAGAAGGCAAAAGGCAAAGAAAUUUUAAAAGAAUGGGGGUUGAAAUGACUUGUGUGGCUAGACUGCUAAGGAAUCAAUAUGAAGUUACUGAAAAUAUUGCUUAGCAGCUGUUUAGGUUAGACAAUGGUAUUUUAGACAUUUGGAUAACUUUUUAUUUGACUGUUUUAUAUGCUAUUUUCCCCCCUGCUUAGAAUCAGUGAAGUCUCUCCUAAGUGAUCAAUGAAGACAAAUGCUCCAGAAAUACCUAGAGGAAAAGCGGCUUAAACAAUUAAGAGAGAAACCUCAGCGAUGACCAUUUAUAGUGGGUGUUUAUAGACCUGAUAAGCCUAUUAUGCUUUCCUCAAUACCAGCACACCAACCAACAAAGAUAAUAAAACAGAAAGAAAAGUACCCAAUCAGGGAAGCCCUGCCAAAAAGAUCGAAGAAGAACCAGGCAAGGUAGAGAAUAAAUAUCUUUUUAUUUCUAGACAUUUGGAAAAUCUCAUUUUUAUUUUCAUGAAGCUGAAAUUAAGCUUACAGAACUGCUUCAAGAGGUUAACCUCCACGUGUGUGAAAACCUCUUGAAGCACAAGGAAGCAUCAAGAGGGUUUACUGUUAUGGUUUGUGAGGUGUCUCAUCUUCAAAACCUUAUAGGUAGAGAAUGUGUAGUUUGGUUAACAGAAGAGAGAAAAUAAAAACACAGCUGACGGAAAUCUUCAUGUGAGCAUCGGCUAGGAGAUGGGUGCAGUGGGUGAAAUGCGUUGACUCUGGAUUCAGCUGGGCCUGAGUUUGCCUAUUGUCUCGCUUCCAAUUGGCUAUAUAAUCUUGGGGGAAGUUAUGAGUUUGUUCUCCCAGCUGUAACAUGUAAUAUCUACAUAGUGUAGUUUCAAGAAUUAAAUCACCUGAUGCUUCUGACAGCAUCUAGCAUAGUGCCUGGUAGAGUCUUCAAAAAGAGCCAGCAUUUCGAGGACCCAAUCCCUUAAUUUAUAAUCCAUGCUACAAUUCCUUAGACUUAAAAAAAAAAAAAAGUUAUGCCAAAGUGUAAGAAACCUGGCUAUAUUCUUACCAAAAAUCAGACAUAGAUCCUCCAAGGAAGGCAGUACAGGGUGAUCACAGGCAAGCAGCUGGGCCUCACAGCUCCUCCCUCAAGGUUGCUUUUCUCCUUAAGGAUUAUCGCUAGUGUCUACCUUUGCAGUCACACAGGCCUCAGGGACAGUGUUACCCUUAAACUCUCGUCCGGGUAGAAAUACUCUGCUUUCAAUUCGUAUCUCAUUAAAACUCAGAAACAUAGAAACCUCUAAAAGUUAUGUUGAAAUGGGUGGGUUAAAUUGGCAAAGGUGGUCGAAAGGUACAUACUUCCAGUUAUAAAAUAAGUAAGUAGAGAAUGUAAUGUACUGCAUGGUGACUACAGUUAAUAAUAUUGUAUAUUUGAAAGUUGCUAAGAGUAGAUCUUAAAAGUUCUCAUCACAAGAAAACAAAAUUUGUAACUGUGCAUGGUGAUGGAUGUUAACUAGACUAACUGGGGUGAUCAUUGCACGAUAUACAAAUAUUGAAUCAUUAUGUUGUAUACCUGAAACUAAUGUAAUGUUGUAUGCCAAUUAUAUUACAGUAAAAAAAAAAUACCAAAUAACAAAUUGACUUGAAAAAGAAAAUAUGCUUCAUAUUUUACAUGGUUAAUCUUACUGUGUCACAUUGAAAAAUAGUUCUUCUCAUAUGAUAAAGUUAUUUAUAAUAAUCCAAAGUUAUUAAAAAAAAGGAUUUUGUCCUUGUCAAUACUAGUAAUCCAAUAAACAUUGGAUUUCUGAUUCUCAAACCUUUGUAAUUAUCAACAUAAUUUAAGUAAAAAGAUAGGUAUUUGUUAGGUGAGUGAAUUUUUCCAACCUUAGUUUUCAUAUAUUUUAAUUUUCGGUAAUACCUAAAACCUAUUAUAUAGUUUUUUUUAACAUGGAUUUGUUCUCCCUCUUUCUGGACCAUAGCAAUGGUUUAUGUAGCUGGUCUUCUGACUCCAUGUAAACAUUUAAUUGUUUUUGUUUCUUAAAUUAUGUACAUGGGACAUAUCUCUUAACUUUCACAUUUUCGGGCCUAAAAAAUUGGUCGAAUGUAUCCCCAGAAGAGAGAUUCUCACUCUAUUCUGUUUAUUCACAUCCAGGUCAUUUCUUUUAAAGUUGAUAGUGAAGAAAAUACUUUGGAAUCACAAACCAGUGUGACAAACGGAAGGGAUCCAGAUGGAGCCUAAAGUUACCUAAGGCAGAUCCUGCAGAAAUGAAAAGGAGGCCAUCCUUCACACGAGUAGAUUUUCUGUUUCAGCCGCCAGAUGGUCUGAAGAGCUAUGACGUAACAGCUAGGACUCCAACAAGUACCGCUACUUUGACACCUAGUUACAGCUGCAUCUCUUUAAAAACAGAAGUUGGUGAGGUUCCAGAAGUAACAAAAGAAAUGUUGGCACGCAAAAGGAAAACUUCAGUACAUCAGGAUUCCGAUGAAUUACGGUGUCCUUUGAGUUCUCUGACAGUUGGGAGCACAGAUAUGGUAUUUUAAUGAAUUUUUUACUUGUUUCUCUGAGUAAUGAUUUAUCAGAGAUUGUUUCGAGCCCUUUUCACCAUAUGGCUCACCGUGUAGCUCAGGGUGUGAUCUCAGGGUCAGAAGAGACAGAAAAGCAUGGGGAGGGCUAUCUGGAGACAGAGCUGGAAUGAGGACUACAGACUGAGAGGGGAACCUAAAUGUAAAUUUGAAGAGAUGAAGAACAUUGAGAAACACUUUAAAAGGAAAUCUGAUGAAUGAAAUCAUUGAGGCAGAAAUAAAAUUUUAAAUUUCAAUGUUGAAAAAAUUGAAGGAUUUAAGAAAUUUGUCUUGGGGGGGAUGUCAUUUUAGGAGUUGCUGCUUUGAAAUGUAUAUGUAAUGUUUUCUUUAAUCUAUAGAUCGUGUCUUAAAUAAGAAUGAAACUACUACUGAAAAUUUACAUGGCUUUCCAAUAAAAGAAGUCCCAUCACUUGAAAUAAAUGAGGAUCAGACAUCUCAGCAGCGACAUGUGCUGUGUUUCAGGAAGAUUCUCCAAUAUGAAAGUGAGGAAUUAAUAUUGACCGACUGCCUUGAGUGGGAAAGGAAGUUUGAAGGAUAUAUUCCAAACAAAGAAGAUCUUAUUCCCCUUGCAGUUGGUCAAAAAAGACUCCUUAAGGCAGAAAUAUUCAAACCGUUUGAAGAACUGGUGGACGAUUUGGAAUACCAAUGAGGCGAAAAGGAUACCACCUGUGCAGACCUAGGUGGAUUCUGGGACAUGGCCAGCCUUCAGAUACAGGACCUGCACCAGAAAUUCAACAAUCUGACCAUACUUGUGGAUGGGAGAAAGCUAGCAAUACGAGCAAAGAUGUGUUUCAGGCAAAUUUGUGGAUUUCUAAUAUAGACUGUUUUACUUUAAUGAAUUUAAGCUUUAGAAACAUUUAGCCGAGUGGUUAAGUUUGCGUGGCUCUGCUGCGGUGGCACGGGGUUCAGAUCCUGGGCACCGACA